rnacentral:rRNA from 1 species
UACGUAGGGCGCAAGCGUUGUCCGGAAUUACUGGGCGUAAAGGGCUCGUAGGCGGCCAACUAAGUCAGACGUGAAAUCCCUCGGCUUAACCGGGGAACUGCAUCUGAUACUGGAUGGCUUGAGAUUGGGAGAGGGAUGCGGAAUUCCAGGUGUAGCGGUGAAAUGCGUAGAUAUCUGGAGGAACACCGGUGGCGAAGGCGGCAUCCUGGACCAACACUGACACUGAGGAGCGAAAGCCAGGGGAGCAAACGGG